UACCAGCUCUCCGAGUGGUGUGGAUGUUUAUUGGGCCUAAAGCAUCCGUAGCUGGCUGGACAAGUCCCUCGUUAAAUCCACCGAUUCAAUCGUUGGAGUGCGGGGGAUACUGUUUAGCUGGGGGACGGGAGAGGCCGACGGUAUUUCCGGGGUAGGGGUGAAAUCCUAUAAUCCCGGGAAGACCACCAGUGGCGAAGGCUGUCGGCUAGAACGCGCCCGACGGUGAGGGAUGAAAGCUGGGGGAGCGAACCGGAUUAGAUACCCGGGUAGUCCCAGCUGUAAACGAUGCAGGCUAGGUGUUUGGGCGGCCACGUGCCGCUCUAGUGCCGCAAGGAAGCUGUUAAGCCUGCCGCCUGGGGAUACGAUCGCAAGAUUGAAAACUUAAAGGAAUUGGCGGGGGAGCACCACAAGGGGUGAAGCUUGCGGUUU
rnacentral:rRNA from 1 species